rnacentral:tRNA from 1 species
GCCAGUGUGGCAUAGUGGGUAGUGUGUCAGACUAGGACCUGGGAGACCAGGGUUCAAAUCCCCACUCUGCCA